UCCAAACCUGUCCCGAGGCAGAGAUGACCCUAAAGAGCCCCUCAGGAGCACUUAUUUGUGGUUUCGAGACUGAAGGCUGGCUGUGCAACUUUGGGAAAGAGAUGGAUUCAAUGGUGCUCACUUUCCUUUGGAUCUCUGCAAAACUACAUACCUACUCAACAUGUUUUUGGAUAGAAUUUCAGACCCAUAUUGCCAACUGAUCACUGGACAUCAUCACCUGGUUCUCCUAAAGACAGUAAACUUAUCAUCAAAGGGCCAGAUGCUCUUCCUACAGACUGAAUCUCUGACAUUUACAGUGGAACGGAACAGUGUCAUAGGAUUCCCUUAACAAAAGUGUUGCUGCAACAUGAGCUUUAACAGGACCUUCCACUGAACGAGGGACACCUGUUUUAAUGUUGUCUUGAUUGUAUUUGCUGAUAGAAAUGGAAGCAACAAAGAUACAAUAACUAGGUCUGUACACAAAUGAAACCGGGCCAUUUCUCUUCAAUGGAGGCAGUCAUAAAAUGAAAGCAAAAUUGAAGCAUUUCACCUUUUUCUUUUGGUAAAAUUCUCCCCAUACUUAUGAAGACUCUUGUCUUCAUAAUGUUUUUCAACAUUCUGCCAAAGCUUACAAUGGAGUCCAGUCUCAUCCCCUAAUUAACCCCUCUUAAAGUUUUCCAGCAUUCUUGAAGUCUCUGGAGCUGUGCUACUGCUUCCAAGUAGCUAAUGUGCUGUUAUUUUACAACACUCUGCCAGAGUUGC